UUCUAACUUCACUAAUUGGAAAGAAAAAUUAUAUCCGUAUUUUGUUGAAACUCGUGUUAAUAAAAAGCUUACUCAAAAAUCAAAAUACACACUUCAUGCUGAGCAAUUUUAAUAUGUAGUGAAUUGCAUUCACUUCUCUUUGAAGAACUUUUAUCUUUGCAUUGAGGACCUCACUCAUCUACCAUGUGUGUGUGACAAAUAAAAUGUGGAGUG
rnacentral:misc_RNA from 1 species